GGGGCGGGUCUAAGGUAUAAGGCAAUUAUACCGUGAAACUGCGAAUGGCUCAUUAAAUCAGUUAUCGUUUAUUUGAUAGUACCUUACUACUUGGAUAACCGUGGUAAUUCUAGAGCUAAUACAUGCUAAAAACCCCAACUUCGGGAGGGGUGUAUUUAUUAGAUAAAAAACCAAUGCCCUUCGGGGCUCUUUGGUGAUUCAUGAUAACUUAACGGAUCGCAUGGCCUUGCGCCGGCGACGGUUCAUUCAAAUUUCUGCCCUAUCAACUUUCGAUGGUAAGGUAUUGGCUUACCAUGGUUUCAACGGGUAACGGGGAAUUAGGGUUCGAUUCCGGAGAGGGAGCCUGAGAAACGGCUACCACAUCCAAGGAAGGCAGCAGGCGCGCAAAUUACCCAAUCCCGACACGGGGAGGUAGUGACAAUAAAUACUGAUACAGGGCUCUUUUGGGUCUUGUAAUUGGAAUGAGUACAAUUUAAACCCCUUAACGAGGAACAAUUGGAGGGCAAGUCUGGUGCCAGCAGCCGCGGUAAUUCCAGCUCCAAUAGCGUAUAUUAAAGUUGUUGCAGUUAAAAAGCUCGUAGUUGAAACUUGGGCCUGGCUGGCCGGUCCGCCUCACCGCGUGUACUGGUCCGGCCGGGCCUUUCCUUCUGGAGAGCCUCAUGCCCUUCACUGGGUGUGUUGGGGAACCAGGACUUUUACUUUGAAAAAAUUAGAGUGUUCAAAGCAGGCCUUUGCUCGAAUACGUUAGCAUGGAAUAAUAGAAUAGGACGUGCGAUCCUAUUUUGUUGGUUUCUAGGACCGCCGUAAUGAUUAAUAGGGAUAGUCGGGGGCAUCAGUAUUCAAUUGUCAGAGGUGAAAUUCUUGGAUUUAUUGAAGACUAACUACUGCGAAAGCAUUUGCCAAGGAUGUUUUCAUUAAUCAGUGAACGAAAAGUUAGGGGAUCGAAGACGAUCAGAUACCGUCGUAGUCUAAACCGUAAACUAUGCCGACUAGGGAUCGGGCGAUGUUAUUAUUUUGACUCGCUCGGCACCUUACGAGAAUCAAAGUUUUUGGGGUUCUGGGGGGAGUAUGGUCGCAAAGGCUGAAACUUAAGGAAUUUGACGGGAAGAA
rnacentral:rRNA from 1 species